rnacentral:rRNA from 1 species
UAGGGAAUCUUCGGCAAUGGACGAAAGUCUGACCGAGCAACGCCGCGUGAGCGAAGAAGGUUUUCGGAUCGUAAAACUCUGUUGGUAGAGAAGAACGUUGGUGAGAGUGGAAAGCUCAUCAAGUGACGGUAACUACCCAGAAAGGGACGGCUAACUACGUGCUAG